rnacentral:rRNA from 1 species
ANNUAAGCCUGCAUGUCUAAGUAUAAGCAAUUUAUACGGUGAAACUGCGAAUGGCUCAUUAAAUCAGUUAUCGUUUAUUUGAUAGUACCUUACUACAUGGAUACCUGUGGUAAUUCUAGAGCUAAUACAUGCUAAAAACCUCGACUUCGGAAGGGGUGUAUUUAUUAGAUAAAAAACCAAUGCCCUUCGGGGCUCCUUGGUGAUUCAUAAUAACUUCUCGAAUCGCAUGGCCUUGCGCCGGCGAUGGUUCAUUCAAAUUUCUGCCCUAUCAACUUUCGAUGGUAGGAUAGUGGCCUACCAUGGUGGCAACGGGUAACGGGGAAUUAGGGUUCGAUUCCGGAGAGGGAGCCUGAGAAACGGCUACCACAUCCAAGGAAGGCAGCAGGCGCGCAAAUUACCCAAUCCCGACACGGGGAGGUAGUGACAAUAAAUACUGAUACAGGGCUCUUUUGGGUCUUGUAAUUGGAAUGAGUACAAUCUAAAUCCCUUAACGAGAACCAAUUGGAGGGCAAGUCUGGUGCCAGCAGCCGCGGUAAUUCCAGCCCCAAUAGCGUAUAUUAAAGUUGUUGCAGUUAAAAAGCUCGUAGUUGAACCUUGGGCCCGGCCGGCCGGUCCGCCUCACGGCGUGCACUGGUCCGGCGGGGUCUUUCCUUCUGGGGAACCCUAUGGCCUUCACUGGCUGUAGGGGGAACCAGGACUUUUACUGUGAAAAAUUAGAGUGUUCAAAGCAGGCCUUUGCUCGGAUACAUUAGCAUGGAAUAAUAGAAUAGGACGUGUGGNUCUAUUUUGUUGGUUUCUAGGACCGCCGUAAUGAUUAAU